rnacentral:lncRNA from 1 species
GAUUGCUUUUACAAUUGGUUUGAUCUUUUUUAUGUACAAAAGUCAACUUAAACGUGAUGUGAAUGUCAUAUCUUCUUUUUCUUUAAUUUUACAGCUGCUCCUAUUUGGCCAUUCUGUGUUCCAUCUCCCUCUCUUCUCCCCCCAACAGAGGGAGAGCUCUUGUGUUCCAUCUUGACAUGAGGACAUGUGUGUGUUGGCAGGAGAGGGUCCUGUGAUGAUGUCUGGCUAUACAGGAGCUACUAUGGCAAUAAGUGAAUAUUUCCACUCUGUUGGCCAGAGCGCUGGUCUUACUGCUGAUUAUGUGUCAAGACUUGAACAUCAUCCCACAUUGUCUGAAAACUGAGCUCUUCCACGGCUUUGCACUGUGCAGUGUGAUGAGAAUGUAAAGAAUAACCUGGUCUGAGAAUGUCCAGUAUUAAAAAAGGAAGAAGAGAAACCUACCACUGUCAAAUCUUCAUGCAGAUGACUUGGAGCAGUUGUGCUGGAUUUGCAAAGUAUAUUUGCAAAGACAUGGAGGAGACGAUAAAAACAGUUGCUUUGUUAUCAAAAUAUACACAUACAUAUAGUAUGAUGGGUGCUGCAAUAAACGUGGGAGUACACGUACCUCUUUGAGAGCCUGAUUUCAUUUCCUUUGGCUGUAUACCCAGAAGUGAGAUUGCUGGGCCAUACUGUAGUUCUAUUUUUAACUUUCUGAGGCACUCUCCUACUGUUUUCCACAACUGCUCCAUCUUUUUACAUCCGUAC